UACGGAGGGGGCUAGCGUUGUUCGGAAUUACUGGGCGUAAAGCGCACGUAGGCGGCUUUGUAAGUUAGAGGUGAAAGCCCGGGGCUCAACUCCGGAAUUGCCUUUAAGACUGCAUCGCUAGAAUUGUGGAGAGGUAAGUGGAAUUCCGAAGUGUAGAGGUGAAAUUCGUAGAUAUUCGGAAGAACACCAGUGGCGAAGGCGACUUACUGGACACA
rnacentral:rRNA from 1 species